rnacentral:rRNA from 1 species
GUAGGGAAUAUUGGGCAAUGGAUGCAAGUCUGACCCAGCCAUGCCGCGUGCAGGAAGAAGGUCCUCUGGAUUGUAAACUGCUUUUUUGGGGGAAGAAUAGUUUUCUUGCGAGGAAAUGUGACGGUACCCUAAGAAUAAGCCACGGCUAACUACGUGCCAGCAGCCGCGGUAAUACGUAGGUGGCAAGCGUUGUCCGGAUUUAUUGGGUUUAAAGGGUGCGUAGGUGGUUUGUUAAGUGAGUGGUGAAAGCCGGUUGCUCAACAAUCGAGUUGCCAUUGAUACUGUCGGACUUGAGAGAAGUGGAGGUUCAUGGAAUGGAUGGUGUAGCGGUGAAAUGCAUAGAUAUCAUCCAGAACGUCGAUUGCGAAGGCAGUGGGCUGUACUUUAUCUGACACUGAGGCACGAAAGUGUGGGGAUCAAACAGGAUUAGAAACCCCUGUAGUCC